rnacentral:rRNA from 1 species
AUACGUAGGUGGCAAGCGUUGUCCGGAUUUACUGGGUGUAAAGGGCGCGUAGGCGGGCAGGCAAGUCAGAUGUGAAAUCUCCGGGCUCAACCCGGAAAUUGCAUUUGAAACUGCAGGUCUUGAGUAUCGGAGAGGCAAGCGGAAUUCCUAGUGUAGCGGUGAAAUGCGUAGAUAUUAGGAGGAACACCAGUGGCGAAGGCGGCUUGCUGGACGACAACUGACGCUGAGGCGCGAAAGCGUGGGGAGCAAACAGGAUUAGAGACCCUGGUAGUCCACGCCCUAAACGAUGAAUACUAGGUGUGGGGGGACUGACCCCUUCCGUGCCGGAGUAAACACAAUAAGUAUUCCACCUGGGGAGUACGACCGCAAGGUUGAAACUCAAAUGAAUUGACGGGG